UACAGGGGGGCAAGCGUUGUUCGGAAUUACUGGGCGUAAAGGGCUCGUAGGCGGCCAACUAAGUCACACGUGAAAUCCCCAGGCUUAACCUGGGAACUGCGUGUGAUACUGGACGGCUAGAGUCUGGUAGGGGAUCUGGAAUUCCUGGUGUAGCGGUGGAAUGCGCAGAUAUCAGGAGGAACACCGGUGGCGAAGGCGGGAUCCUGGGCCAGUACUGACGCUGAGGAGCGAAAGCGUGGGGAGCAAACAGG
rnacentral:rRNA from 1 species